CCCCGGUGUCCUCUCCCUGCCUAUUGGCACCCUUGUGGCCAGGCCUGCUCCCAGAGCAGAAUCUGGAUCUAGAGGAGGGGGCAACCCCGUCCCUACUCUCCAAGGGCAGGACACACACACACACACACACACACACACACACACACACGAGCACUCGACACAGGCGAAGAAAACGCAUAAACAAAUGCAGAGUCAUCACCAGCUGCAGGAGCUUUACGCGGCCAUGCCAGGGGCGGACAGAACGAGCAGAGAACCGGAGGCGCUGAGUCCAAACAGCUGUGUGCUGUGCUCAGGAGCUAACGCCAAGGGGGUUGAGGACCCCAAAGGCCUCCUUGGCUGGGAGGAAUGUCAAGGCCUGGCCCCUCCUCCAUCACACUGGAGGAACACAGAGGACAGGGAUGGCUUCUCCCAGGGCGUGCAGGACUCUGUCCCCGAGCUGAGUACUGAAGACCGUUUGCUGCCUGGGAAAGAGGAGACAGCUGCUUCCAGCCACAGAGAGCCGGGGAAAGAUUCACCCUGAGCUAACAUCUGCUGCAAAUCCUCCUCUUUUUGCUGAAGAAGACUGGCCCUGAGCUAACAUCCGUGCCCAUCUUCCUCUACUUUCUAUGUGGGACGCCUGCCAAGCAGUGCCAUGUCCGCACCCGGGAUCCGAACUGGCAAACCCCAGGCUGUCAAAGCAGAACAUGCGCACUGUACUGCUGCGCCACUGGGCCGGCCCCAAAAGAGCACUGAAUUUUAACCACUAGGCCAUCAUGACUGGCUCCUUUUUUUUUUCAAGCCAGGAAAUGGACAUUGGUACAAUCCACAGACAUUCAGAUUUCACCAGUUUUACAUGGGGGUGUGUGUGUGUAGUUUCAUGCAAUUUUAUCACGCAUAGAUUCGUGUAACCACCUCUAUAAUCAAGACAGAGAACUACUCCAUUUGCAGAGAUCCCUCUGCAGUCACACAUACCCCUCUGCUCGUCCUUAACCACCCCUCCUCCCCAACCCCUGCCAGCCACUAAUCUGCUCUCCAUCUGUAUAACUAUGUCAUUUUGAGAAUGUCACAUAAAUGGAAUCAUGCAGUAUGUGCCCUUUCGAAGCUGACUUUUUUCACUCCACAGAACGCCCGUGACAUCCAUCCAACGCGUGGUGUGCGUCAACAGUUCAUCGUUUCUGGUUGCUGGGUCGUGCUCUGCAGCAUGGAUGUCCCACAGUUUGUCUAACUGUUCACCUGUUGAAUGACGUUCGGGUUGUUUCCCACUUGGGACUAAUACGAAUGAAAUUGCUGUGAACGCUCACGUACAAGCUUUUAUGUGGACCUAAGUCUUCAUUUCUUCGGGCCACGUCUAGGAAGGUGGUUGAUGGAUCACACGGGAAGAAUAUGUUCAGGUUUUGAGAAACAGCACUUGGGGACAAAUAGACAGAUCGGCACAUCUGGGAACUGCAGGGGUCUCCAUUGCACGGCAGAGGUGUCCACCAGGUCCAGGCUGGGGCCUGAUAGGGAAAGAACUGAGAUUUAUGGCCCUACAGAGCCUGAGCCUGCAGCUGACACAGCUGGGAAGUGACCAAGGGCAGCUGGAAGGAGGAGCUCUCCAAAGUCCAGACCUGUUCAACACAGUCAAGGGAGAACACAGAACCAAACUGUCGGCAGCAGGGUGGUACUGGCCUCCCAGAAGCCCCUGACCACGCUAGAAAGACGGGCUCGCGGAAUGAUCUUCAAGCCCGAAUCAUGUGCUGUGAGUCAGAGCCCCACGCACAGAAAGCACAAGUGGAGAGGCGUCACUGCUCCCUAAGGAGGCUCCCCAGGCUCCACCUCACCUGACCGCAGAGGCUGCUGAGUGGAGGGCACCGGGCCUGCCACUCACGCCCUCAACAAACAUUCGGUGAGCCCUCCUGUGUGUGAGCACUGUACUAGGCUUCUGACAUGACCUAAAGAAGCCGGUAUCUGGACAGUUGGUCACCAUCUGGAGGUGACACAUAGUUCUGCGGAACAGAGGAUGCUGAGAGCUGUUCCAGGGCACCUUAAGAAAUUAGCAUCUUUGCUGCCAGAGCUUCCUAACAGAGGGCAGACUACAGGACACGUGGAGGAGGCAGCGUGUCGGGGAGCUUAGGAACAACAGCUAACACUUAGGUGUACCUUGGCACACACCAGGUGCUAGCACUGUGCCAAGCAUGUGAUGAUAAUUCAAUAGUGUAAGAUUCAUGCAACGUAUACUUACUGAAUUUCUUACUGUGGGCCCAAUGACCAAAGAAGACCCUGAUGUCGAGGGAUGGGGAGAGCGACUCGGCCAAGAGACAACUGGGUCCUGGAAGAGUCCCGGCCCAGCACGGCCAAUGCUUUCUGCUUUCUCGUGCUGGAUAUUAGGGCAGUGAUUCAGUGAUUCUCCAAUGGGGAGGGAUGGGGGAGCUUAAUCUCCAAUUUGGGAUUUACACAGAGAUUGAAAAAGCAUAUCCAAAUGAUACUAUAAUUCUGUAUUUGGAAAAUAAAAAUUAUUUUUUAUAAUAAAAACUAGAGUAAGUCGGGCUUGAUAAAAUGGUCUUAGCUAGUGCAGAUACACAGAAAAACAAUAAUUCUCAAAGAGGGCAACGUUCUGGGGCAAGAUGCAGCAGAAUCUCUGAAGGUGUGUGUGCUAUUUUUAUACUUAUCACAAAGAAAGUUCCAGUGAAAAGAAAACAAUUAAAAAC
rnacentral:lncRNA from 1 species